AGAAAAAUUGCAUUGAUACAAUCAGAAAUGUGGCCAACGUAUGCUGUGUUCAAUUCUCUCCAUACUCCUCCCACAUGCUAGCAUUUGGUUCAGCUGAUUACAAGAUAUACUGCUAUGACCUGAGGAACACAAGGAUCCCUUGGUGUACUAUUUCGGGACAUGGUAAAGCUGUCAGUUAUGUAAGGUUCUUGGAUCCAGAAACACUUAUCUCUGCAUCAACGGACAACACAUUGAAGAUAUGGGAUCUUAACCGGACUAAUUGCAGUGGAUUAUCUACUGAUUCUUGCAGCCUGACACUGAAUGGUCAUACCAAUGAGAAGGUAUGAGAAAGUUUUAGUACUGCUUGUUUGUUUUCUGAGGUUAACCUGUUUGUUGAAUUAAUCUGAAAUCAACCUUACUAAUAAUUUCUUCUGCAGAAUUUUGUAGGGUUAUCUGUUCACGAUGGAUACAUAACAUGUGGCUCCGAAACCAAUGAAGUGAGUGUUUUAUGUAAUAAUGUAAUGCAUACAUUUUCCUUGGCAUGCCGACAUGUUUUAGUGAAAACGCUGUCAGGAAUUGAGUUCUGUCUGUCAAGUUGUAAACUUUCGAUUGAGCAGCUAUGUGUUGAGCACAUUGGUAUGCUCAGGAAAUUGUGUUUUUUUUCCCUUAUAGCACAGAUGAUUACAAUGGACCCAGUCUCUAAACCUAAACCUAUCAUGGUCCUUUCCUCACUAGUAUGACAAACAAUGUAUUAACACAUUUGAUCAGCCCAGACCUAGCAAGUUUCUGAUUCCGCCCGAUUGUGUAUUGCAAACCACCUCUCUCAGCCUUACAGUGAAGAUUCUCCUGUUGAUGCCAUGGCUAUUACUGUAGCACUCCUAGGUGACAGAUUGCAACCUGGAUUGACGUAAAUUGUUUGUAGUUUGGGAUUUUGAGUUGAAAGUACACUCUGUUAAAGGUUUAAGCGGAACAUUGCAGUAUGAAAUCUUCAGCUUCUGAAAUGCAGCUCACAUACCAUGGAAAAUUUUGGAUUUGCCACUUAGGAUAUAUCUGUAUUCUGACUUUGCCACUGAAAAAUAGCAUCUUCUGUUUUUGCCACUCGUCCUUUGGAUGGUAUUUUGUUUCCGAAAUGAUAGGUUGGCUUAGUGCUAGAACAAAAAUAUAGAGCCUCCUUAAUGGCAAACAUAAAAUUUUCCAUUUGUUCACUGGCAUCUCAAUGAAGCAUAUCGAUGAAUCUAUCAGUGGAAGGAUUGCUCAUGUGCUUUUUGGUGCGUGCAGGUAUUUUCUUACUACAAAUCCUUCCCUAUGCCAAUAACUUCUCAUAAGUUUGGUUCUAUCGACCCGAUAACUGGACAAGUGACAAAUGAAGACAGCCAGCAAUUUGUGUCCAGUGUUUGUUGGAGAGGGAAGUCAAACAUGGUAGUGGCUGCCAGCUCUAGUGGUAGCAUCAAAGUGCUUGAGCUUGUGUGAAAGAUCCGGUGAGAGUUCUGUUGAAGGAAAAAGGUUAUAGGGUUGCCAUGUGGGCCCCGUGAUGCUUAUGUGCACUUGGUGAUGCUGUUUCUAUGCUUAGUGAGUCCUCAAUGCAGAACACUAAGCAUUAGGCACCACUCCCAGGCCUGGUCUCAUUGUGUCACCAGACUACCAGAGCAGCAUAAGAUGCAAAGUGCACCAUUCAAGUAACCUGCAACACCGGAUAUUGGUUUUGGAUGCUUUGCUUGAGAUUUCCAAGCAAACUUAACAAAAUUUGCAAGAAUGCGACGGGCCUCAACGGAAGGCAACUGUCAGUAUCUGUUUAUUGCGUUUGUAAAUUUGUGCGGCAUUACUAUUCAUCAUCUUGAGGGCCUAAGGGUCUGUACAGAAUUAGGUGCCCUAGGGCUGAUGAAAUAUUUCCGAGACAGGAUGUUCUUUCGGGCUAGAGGCUGACGUGAUUAUACAUGUACUAGAUCAGUAUGUCAUGGGAACUUAACUCAGUUUUGAUAUGCGCUGGCUGGAGUUUGUAUGAUGGUUAGAUCAAACAAUUAGAAAACAAAACAGGGUGAUCUUGUAGCUUGAAGAAGUUGAUCAUGCAAUGUGCAUGUUGUAAGGAGGAUGUGUCUGAGGUCUCCCGUUCAUUAUUGUACAUAUAUUUAGGACUGCCUACCGAAAGGCCUUGUAACUAGAGUAAAAUGUUCAAAGCACUCGAGUCAUCAGCUCAUUAUAAUUAAAAUUAAUGGUAUUCUGAAAGUUUGAUGGCAGAUCUUUUUCACCUGUAUAUGAUUAUUUCGCUGAUGUUUUGUCUUGGAACACGGGAAGAACUUAUUUGCUUAUGCUUGUGGUGCACGCGGUGACUUACUUCACCCAACCUUGAUGCUUCGUUCGGCUGACACAUUUGACUGCCCGUUGUUGGCUUUCACUUGACUGUAGCCUGAUAGCGUGUAUUGUGCCUGUAACGAGUUAACCUUGUACCUGAUGAAUGGCAGAUGCUUGUUCCUUUUCUAGCUUUCUUUUUUUUUUUUACCUUUGUUCUCAUCAUGAGUCUUGUGGAAAUAUUGCACUUAUCAACUCGCACAUAAUCAGAUCACGAACUUAUAGGGACAGCUCUAACUGGUAACAGCAACAUCUGUGAUGCUCUUGUUCAAUGCAUGUCCACGGAACAUUGGGGACGGGAAAAUUGCAACAGCAGGCGACGAUCGUAGUGCCUCGAUCAAUCAGAUGACAGCCGACUUGCCGUUCUCUCUGAGUUUCUUCACCAGCCAAACAUGGCAAAAGCACAGACUGAAAGGUUGCCCAUUUGUGACCCCCAGUGAUUUGCCAAUUUUGGAGGGGAGCGAUCAGAAAUAGGCAAACGUCCAUGGAUUCAACUCCUCAAUUUCCCACAAUUUUUUGGUCCCUCCGUUCCUGCCCCCUCCCAACGUCUCUCCCUUUCCGCCAUCGCAAUCUUUUCUUCCGCGAGGGAAGGGAAGGUUCCGGCCCAGGGAGGGUAGGGAGCAAAGCGCGCGGAGCAGCAGAGGAAGGAAAGAAGCAAGCGAGGAGCGCCCCGGCGACCGACCGAGCAUGGCGCGCAGGAGGCAGCACGCCCUGCUGCUCCUCUCCGCCGUCGUGGCCUCCCUCGUCGGCGGCUCGACCGCCGGGGUGUACCACAUCGUCGGCGCCGGCAAAGGGUGGCGGAUGCCCCCCAACAAGACGUACUACGACGACUGGGCGCGCUCCAGGCACAUCAGCAUCGGCGACAAGCUGAGUAAGCUACGAAGCUUAGCUUGCCGUGUGGAAAUUCUUGCUCCAUCCAGGUCUCGGACCAAACUAAUUAGCGCGCGCGCUCAUCUGCUCGCCCGCGUCCGCGUCGUUCGUCGCAGUGUUCCUGUACCGGAGCGGGGUGCACAACAUCGUGGAGGUGCCGACGCGGGCGCUGUUCGACGCGUGCAGCAUGCGCAACAUCACCAGCCGGUACCAGAACGGGCCGACCAUCAUCGAGCUCACCGAGCCCGGGCAGCGCUACUACUUCUGCGGCGUCGGCGAGCACUGCGAGGUCGGCCAGAAGCUCGCCAUCAAUGUCCUCCUCGUCGCGCCGCCGCUGCCCGACACGCCCAGCUCCGGUGCCGCGGCGCGGCGCGGCACGGGGCUCUUCGGCCUCGCCGCCGCCUGCCUGGUGCCCGCGUUGCUAAUGGCGGUGUGACGACAUGGAACGCCGCGGCACGGGAGCGCGCGAGGCGUGUGCCGUCGCUUGCUGCGUCCGUCUUAUAUAUGUACAUACAUGUAAUGUAUCACACAGUAUCAGUGUUGGUCUGACUAGAGAGGAACCUUGGGCUUGGCCUUGGGCUGCCCUGAAAUUUUUUGCUCUCCUCAUCAGUUGCUAUUUUCGUCUCGUCUCGGUCUUAUGAUCUCCGAUGCCCGGGGCCAAACACACGGGAAAUGCUUCGGCAACAAAGCAGGAACAGGUAACUGGUGGAUGGAGAAAUAAAGGAGGCUGGGUGUAGAGGAAUUAACGAGCAGCUGUACGAAGAAUUGGGGAAUGAAUGGCUGGAAAAGGAUCAUACAUAGCCGGAGGAAGAUGGGUUUUGGAUCAGUUUUUGUUCCCUACUUGGGCCCCGAUUCCUCCAGUAGUCCAGUUUAAUAGGCCAGGCCGUACGAGACCGAGACGACGUCUACACUUGGCGGAAAUUGUGUGUGUUUUAGCGGUUGCAAGAUGAGACUGGCCCAGCACGAUCCAUAAGAGACUCUUCUGCUGCUUCCUGCAAUUCAGGUUGCAAAUCUUCCACAAGGCGAAAUAGAAUCUACCCCACCGCCUCCUCCUCGCCUCGCCGGUCGCCGCUGCUCUGCCAUCCACCACCAACCAAGCCUCAAACCUCCCCUCCGUCCGCCAUGGACGCUCCCUUUCGAAACCUCCCCGAAGACAUCCUCCGCCACAUCUACGGGCUGCUCGCAUGCCCCGCCGACCGCUUGGCCAUGUCCCGGGUUUGCCGCCUAUUUCGCGCCGCCGUCACGGGCCACUCGCCCCAAAUCCGGGCCGCGCCCUUGCCGCAGCAGCUCCCGUGGCUCCUCCUCCCGCACGCCGAGGGGCCAGCCUUCGCCUGCAUCCUAAGAGGCGGCGCCCUCCACCGCCUCGACGUCCCGGAUGACGCACGAUUCGCCCGCUACUUCGGCUGCCACAGGGGCUGCUGGCUCUUCCUCGCCUUCGGCCAAACCGAAGGGCACGCUCUCCUCAACGUCCGAACGGACCAGCGCAUCUGCAUCCCCAAUGCCAUGCGCAUUGGCCGUGGUCUUGGUGAGUACCCUAUGGUGAUCCACGGCGUCACACUCUCCUCUUGCCCGCUUGACGAAGGCUGUAUCGCCGCCACCAUCGUCAGCAGCCACCCGUCCUGUCCCAAGAUCACGUUCUGGCGCAUCGGUGAUCUUGUCGCGUCAGGAGCAUUUGGGACUUCUUGGUCUUUGAGGGUGGUUGACCUCAUAUUCCACGACGGCAGCCUUCAUUGCCUCACCCGAUACGAAAGAAUCCUUGUGUGCACACCAGUAUUCGCUGACGAUGGGCUGCUCGACGUUGGUAUGGAGUUGCGCUUGCUGCCGGGCCGUGGCUACGAUGGUCAGCACGUCCAUGGCCGGUACAUCUUGGAGUCCCGUAAGGAACUGCUUAUGGUGGUCAGAUUCUCUCCUUCGCCACUUGGUUUCUCCUUUAGGAAUGCUUGAGUAGCAGAAAUGGCGUUCUCAGUCUUGUUCCCCAUUGAUUAGCAGAAACGCCAUUCUCAGUCUUGUGCUCCAUUGAGCAGAAGAAAUUAAUGGCAUUCUCAGUCAGUCUUAUUCUCCAUUGAGCAGCAGAAUCACUUUAGUGGGUGGUUUUAUUGGAUUUCGCGAAAAAUGGUUGUAUUGGCCUCAUCACAUCAAAUGCAUUCAAUUAUGUAUCAUGCAGAUCCACAAGCUAGUUUAGCUGGUCGCAACUAUACAAGGGCAACCAAAAAAAAAAGUGCAAUGUAGCAACACAAAAUAAUAUUAUCGCAAAAAUUUAACAAACUGAACAAAAUUUUCCCAAGCUCAAGUUUCAAACAUAGUUACUGAGAGAAACCCUCAUUACCAAGUGCUGAAUCAUCAUACAGAGCAGCACUAUAGCUUCGUUCUGCAAAACAUCUCGUGCCAUUACAUGUUGUCCUAUGAACAUGUAUUGUACAUAUACAGAUUUUGUCACAACAAUGCAUGGUUUGCAAAAACAUCGAUCCAGAUAGCUGAUUUGUAUUAAAAAACAAGAUAGUUGAUGCUGCCACCAUAAUGUACAUAAUUCAGACAGAGAACUUUACACCGUCACAAUCACUGACCUUGAAUAUAGCAGCCUUUCCCUUUUGUUCCAGCAACCGCAGAGCAUGCAUUAGAAUGAUGCUAUCAAUUCCUGCAAGUUCUGCAUGACAAACGAAAUUAAAACGGAUAAGUAUACAAAUGGAAACUAUUCCAAGAUUUGUAGUAACUAUGCUCAUGUAAAUAGGAGGAUGCUACAUUUUAUGGGUGUUCAAUUUAUUAAGUUAUAAUGAGCAUAUCCUUUUAAAAAACAGUAACACUCACCUAAAGUAGUAAGACACUUUUUUUUUUCUGAGUUCUGAUCCAGAGAAAGGCUGAGUGUGACUAAAAUGUCUCAGCAUGGAGGAGUUUGGGGUUAAGCAGCUGUCGAUGUGCGCAUGGAGCAUGGUAACGGUCUUAUAUGCGGAGGGUUCAGCACCGGCGAUGUUUUCUUAUGCUUUGGUGUUCGAAUCCUCUAAGUUUCACUGUGCCGUUCAUGCCCAUGUUGUCAUCGGCGGCAGACUCGUAGCUGUCGAUAUGGAGAUGGUAGUUGGAGUCUGGCGGAUUGUUUUGACCCUCCGAGGUGAUUCUGAUGGCUACACAGUUGGUAGGAACUGCCUUGUGAGGUUAGCCUUCCACCUUCUCGUUUGCACGUUUUGGUGUUCUUUCACUCCUCUUGCGGGUUUGCUGCUCGUCGACUAGGGUUGGCCGGUGAGGCGACCGACCAUUGAUCCUAGUGAAAUCGAGGAUGGGUCGGAGCGUUCAGUGGAUAAACAUCAUGCUUUUCGGUGUGCUUCUUAUGGCCUUCUUAAAAAGUAACUCUUCGUCGAAUCGGAUUCAGCCAUGAGCUUCAUUUUGGGUCUUCUUCAUUGCGGGAGGUGGAGAAGAUCUAGGUUGCGGCAACAACAGUGGGCGAUGGCAACAGCUAUUGGGUGCUCCUAUGGUGGUCUUAUAUGUAAUUUUCUUUUCACUCAGCGGUACCCUCUUAGGGGCUUGGAUGUAAAGUACUGUAUUAAUAAAAUCCAACCCUUUUUCUAAAAAAAGCAACCAACACGGACCCCAAUAAAAAAAAUGAAUCGUACACUGCCCCAAAUCUCCGACUUCGUUUGGAUGUCGAUAUUGGAGGGCAUGGUAUUGAAUUAGGUUUAAUACCAAAUCCACCAUGGUAUUGAAAUGAGCACAAUUCAAAUUCUGCUGUUUGGAUGGCCAUUACAUUGGCUUAUGGAAUCCUGUAAAGCAGCUCAAUUCAAUGCCUGUUUGAUAUACAAAAGCAUGGAAUUGAAAUUUGGUCUUUGUUCCUAUCUGCAUGAACUUGUCACUCCGUGAGAAGGUGUCAAGACCGGUAGGAUCUGGGCAGGAAAAACAAACGAGGAAUCCAGAACUCAAGUGAAAUCAGAAAGGGGAAAGAGGAAUGGAGAAGAACAGCAGCUCGAUUUAACUGAACAUAGUCUUCAGAUACAGAAGCCAGCCAUGGUGGCAGCGCAACUAGAGCUACUGCUAUUCUAGAUAUAGUUUAGGGUUCAUACUCUUCGACAAUAACCCCAGACCACCGGUCGGGUCCUAUUACAACCCAUCUAAACGGUAAAGAUUAAAGGAGCUGUAACUGCUCUUACUAAGUUACUGUUAACAGUCUGAAAAACGGGUGAAACGCUACAGCGUGAGAGUGAAGCGAUCUCCGCCGCUGGAUGAAGGAUGGACGGUUCCUUGGAAGUCGCUGAAUCGUUCAAUCUGUCGCCGACUUGCACUUGAGCCUUCUGAAUGGAUGACUGAAUGGCUGGCGUCCCUCUGAAUGNNNNNNNNNNNNNNNNNNNNNNNNNNNNNNNNNNNNNNNNNNNNNNNNNNNNNNNNNNNNNNNNNNNNNNNNNNNNNNNNNNNNNNNNNNNNNNNNNNNNUCGUCGGCGGAGGGAGGCUGGGGAGGGGCAGCGCGGCUCGCCGGCAGACAGGGCAUGGGGUGCGGCGCGCGGCAUGCCGAGGGAGGGAGGAAGGAGAGGGGCGAGAGAGACGGAGGGAACGGGCGGAGGACGAUUCCAACGAAAACCGAGGGGGUGGGCUCGGUAUGAAGGGAGAGCGGGUGAGUGUCUCAUGAAUACCGAUCGGCAUUAGGGAUGAUUUCCAAUUCCGAAUUCGGGUGUUAUCAAUGUCAAUUCGGCUGAGUAUCUACAUCCAAAUGCAGUGCUAACUCUUCCGGUUCCUUCCUCUAAAAAAAAGAACUCUUCCAGUUCCUCGGCGGCUCGCCGUCGUCCACCCGCUCACCCGACCGGCCACCCACCACUAGUCCACCGCCACCGGCCUCCGAGCCCCAACUACCAAUCGCUCUAGUCUCGCCCCCACCUCUCCGGCACUCCCAUGGCUGAGCAUCGGCGCUGGACGGACGACCUCCCCGCCGACCUCAUGUCCGAGAUCGUCCGCCUCUUCCCGUGCGCAAAGGACCGCCGCACCAUCACCACCGUCUGCCGCACAUGGCGCGCGCGCGCCCAGAUCCCUCCCCCGCCACCCGCGCUCCCGUGGCUCCUCCUCCCGUCCGCCGGCUCGACUCCCGUCCACUGCUUCCUCAGCGACUUCCGCGUCCGCCACGACAUCGGUGCGCCCCCGCACGGCGCGCGCUACUUCGGGUCGCACGACGGCGCCUGGCUCUUCCUCGCCUACCAGACUCGCCGCCACGAGCUCCUCAACCUCCGCGACAACAGCAGCUAUGUCCUCCCCGACCUGGUCCGCCAGCAGCAGAACGACCGCGACAUGGUCAUCCUCGCCGCCACCCUCGUCCCCGCCGGGCCACCCAAACUGCGUCGGCGCCUGCAUCAUCGGCAGCUGGCCGGACAACCCCGCGCUCCGGCGCUUGGCCUUCUGGCGCAUGAGGUCUCUGUCGGCCAAGCCCGACUGGUUACCUCCAGUGGAUUUCGAGGUUGAGGACGUCGUGUAUCAUGGCGUCGCCUUCCAUUUCCUCACCAGAGGCGAACACAUCCGCGUGUGCGAGCCGGUUCUCGGUGAAGGUGGGCGGAUGCUGUUACUUCCCGAGCUGAAGUUCUUGCAGCCAGAGGGGCGCAACUACGACGGACUCGUCGUCCGUGCUCGCUACCUCGUGGCGUCCGGCGGGGAACUGCUGAUGGUCGUCAGGUUCGCUCCUCAACCUCUGUUGCUUUUUUUUUUUUUUGAAAAGGACGCAGGAGCACUGCUCAUUUAUUUAAGAGGGAGAAGUUCAAGGUUACAUGAAAUGCAAUAUUACAUAAAAGAAGUUUAACUCGAGUCUUAAGCAUCUAAACGAAUUAAGAUAUACCGCCCAGUGAAGGGCGCCCACAGGCACGUCUUCGCAGCUCAACAUCUUUCUGGAUUCUCAUCAAAAUCUGUGAUGGUCGUAGUUCCUGAUUUGGAAAGAUUCUCCUAUUCCUCUCAUUCCAUAUGUGCCAUGCUGUGAUUGUCAUGAGAGCGGCUUUUGAACGUCGUUGCUUUGUGCUCAAGUUCUUCAGCUGUCCUUGCCACCAUUCUUGCACUUCCUUAUCAUCUUGAGUUGGAGUAGAAACAUGUCCAUCCGUCCAUGUGCCUACCAAGAACCAAACUUGCUUUGCAUAGCUGCAUUGCAAACAUAAGUGAGUAGCCGUCUCCAAUUCUUGGUCACACAACGGGCAGAUGGUGUUUACUUGUCAAUUUCUCACGAGCAUCUUGUCUGCUGUCAAGAUCUUACUUUGCACCAACAACCAGACAAAGAACUUGUGUUUGGACUCAAUGUGUGCCUUCCAGAUAGUGUCUGCAUCUAUUGUGGUGUAUGUACCUGCAAACUGAGCUUCAUAGUGUCUGCAUCUGUUGCUGACUUCGUCGUUCAGGGUGUUCCGGGCCCGGCUCAGAUUCCCCAGUCCGACGAUGACGACGAGGAGGGUGAGGAUCAGGACAUGGACAUCGAGCAGGAGGUGGACGAUGAGGACGAUCAGGUCGCCGAGGUAGACGAUCAAGGCGAGGAGGUUGAGUACACCUGGUGCUGGGGCGAGCUGGACACGCUGGGUGCUGUUCGUGGGGAGAGGCUGCUCCAGAUCCUACGAGGUGGCCCAGUACCCGGGGUUCAAGGCUGGCAUCUACUUCUUGGAUGAUCGGAGCUUCUACGACGAGGGGAUGAUGUUCCGUGGUGUCAAUGAGAAGCAGUAUCCCUGCAACGACAACGGGAAGUGGUCAGAAGGACCACCUCCUGGUAUCAAAGGCUACGCCCCGCAGGACAGUUCGAACAACUGCUCUCCUCCGGCAUGGCUUCUCCCUUGAGACGGCAAGUUUUUGGCUACGAAACUCCAGUUCAUGAGUUUCAGAUGUACUGAUGUUUGCGUGCGAUUGACGAUGUGAAAUUGCCAUGUUGAUCGGGCAGCUGCUUAUUGCAUUUGCUAUUAGAUUGUUGCCGAAAGCCUGAAGACAGUUGCUGAUUGCAGAACAGUGAGAUUGUUGUUCAGAUCCAUGUGUUUCAUUUGUCAUGCCUUGUUAGUUGUUACUACUUUCUUGUUCUUUGUGGCACUCUAUCAGUUCACGUAAUUGAAAACAGAAAUGGUUGCCGAUAUAGGUUUUUUGUGUCAGGUGAUUAAUGGAGAAUCCAGUUUGGAACUUUGUGUGCUAGCGACCAGAAUGUUUCCUUAUUGUUUCACAAACUAGCAUGGAACUGGAGUAAUAUGAAUGGGAGCUGAACUUACUGAGAUGCAGAGUUGUUAAUACCCAUGAAGUCAUCUGAACCUACCCUCACUCUCCACAAGUUUCAUAAACUUCAUUUAUUUUAUGAAUUAAUAACUAGCUUGAUGUUCAUGUCAUGAAAUGCAGUACAUAUUCCUGUCGAAUUUAAAUGGAUAGUUGUGCCUGAAAAUGGGCAUGUUGGUAGGUAGCAUAUUCUUGAUAAAUCGUGUGCAUUUCUUCUUUGAAGAAAGAUGAUUUUGCGUGGCAUCUGAACUUCGAUUCUGUGGCCAACUGCAUUUCCCUGCCUCAUUUGCAACCCAUAGGCUUGACGUUAUGCUGAAUCGCAGAAUCCGUUAUGCCGAUGAGUCUCUUACUUGUGUUUUAUUAGUGUUGAAUAUACCACUGCGUCUACAUGUCGGUUGCUAUUUAAUUCAUAGCAGUUUGGGCAUGCAUUGCUUACCUCUGUCAGUGGUCCUUAUCGCAGUCCUGCUUCGUUUUGCCCUCUCUGAGCUUGUGAGUUUGUGAGGUGAACCAUCCUUUUUUUUUUCGAACUGCGCCUGUAGUAUGGCUGUAUAGAUCCAGGGAGGCGUAGGUGACCUCCGGUCUUCGAGGUGGCAUUCUUUUAUUUUCUUUGUCCGGUCUUUUGUAUUUGCAAAUCGAAGGCUGCUCUACGAGUUUUGGUAGUAUUUGUUUCCACACUUCCCAGGGAUUUUAGUUCAAAAAACCCUACCCAAACGUUUACCCUACCCACUUCCAGGCAUUCAACAUUAUAGCUUCAUCGUCUUGGUUUUGUUUUUAUUUUUUGUGGCGGAAUUCUUUCUUUUUUCAGGACAAGCUUCGUGUAACACCUUGCAAGCAAGCUUUUUACACGUCCAAGCGCCGUCGUAGGCUGCAAUUUAGGCCUAAUUAAAUCGGCCUUCAGUAACUUCUAGUGGGUCUACAUUGGGUCCAGGCCAUUCGACCCAACACAAUUCCGGUCCGAUUAGCCCAUCAAGCAACCUGCGUGCUUUCCAGCAAAACUCAUGCCAGCUAGCAACAACGCUCCUCUCGCCUUGGCUUCCCAGUCCACCGCCACCGGGAAGUGGUCAGAAGGGCCGCCUCCAGUUGUCCAGCUCUGCCCGCCGCAGAACCCUUCGAACCACUCUCCUCCGGCUUGGCUUCUCCCUUGAGACGAGCAGACGGCAGGUUUUUCUUCGCUAUGACCUUCCAGUUCAUUAGUUUGUGAUGCGCUGAUGUUUGAGUGCCGCGUGCGAUACAUGAUGUGGGAGUUGUGGUGUUGAUCAGAUAGUUGCUGAUUGCGUUGAGUGUGAGAUUGUUUCUGAAUGUUGGUGUUGCCUGUCAGUUUGAGUUUGUAGAUGGAAAACAUAUGUGUUUCAUUUGUAGUUGGUAAUCGCUACUCCGUACAACAAUUCCUGUACUUCGUGGCACUUCCAAGUUUUUGAAUUUACAUAUCUGAAUACAGAAAAUUGUUGGCUGGUUGACGUUUAAGACAUUCUUGUGUGAGGACAUUAAUUGUGAAUCCACUUUGAGAAUUUGUGUGCUGGUGAGAAGAUUGUUUCCUUGUGAUUCUACCCUAGUAAUAUUCUUGGAAGAUGAACCUAUGCAAUUCAGCAUUCUGAUUUUAUUUCCAUUGGCACUGUGACAGGGUACUGCAGGCGAGUGCCUAUGCUAGAACAGAAGGGAUGCAAAAUCUGGGAAGACUGUCUUAUAUUUUUUUACUAGUCUCCUCAAGUGUUAAUUUUGUUUGCUUACAAGCUUAUUUGUUUUUGCUGUAUUUACUGUGUGAUCUCUGAUUCUCAUCUGUGCAUGACACUGGUUGUUUAACACUAGCAGAAGUAGACUGCAUUUGUUCUUUAUAAUUGGUUGGCAUGGAAAUGUACAAGAUGACAGUUGCUACUAUCUCUCUCUCUCUCUCUCAUAGUUUGUUCAUUGUUCUUUCCAUGGAUAUAUACCAUAUGGUAUAAAUCGUUGUGAAUAUUCACGAAAUGUACAAGCUAAUCUGUUUAUUGAUUUUUUUUCUCGGUUCACAAUGUAGAACAUAAAAUUUUGAGUCAGAUGUUAAUUUUCAAGAAGUGGCUCUUAUUUAAUUGCGGAAUUGCUAGUUUAAUAUUCAUGUCAUGAAGUGCCUUACUCCUUCCAUUUAAAUUUAAAUGGACAGUUCAAUGUGAACAUUGGUGUGUUGGCACAUGUACAUUCUUGACAGACUAUAUUGUGUUUUGUGAGUUUAUCCACCCCUUACACGAAGAGGAUUUGCAUGACAUUUGAAUUUUGAUUCUGAGGCAAACACUAUACUCUAUCUCUAUGCACAGUCCUGUAUGAUGUUACUGAAUACUGAAGUUUUGAGAGGCUUGAGGUUCUGAUGGAUUUCAGAAUACACAGAGAUAUGCUGAUGAGCUUGUUACCUAUUGCUUAAUUAUCUGUUGAAAAAUGGAAGACCGCAUGAAUGCAGCUCACAAUCCAACCUCGUUUUAUUAUCAGCAUUCUGGGCUUUCAUUGCUUACCACUGUAUUCAAUAUGAUAAUACAGUGUAGAAAGUGAUUGUUACUUGCUAGUUGUCAGUACUUUGCUUUUCAUGAUGGACCCACUCAUUGCAUGACAUGGAAGCUGAUUUUGCUUAGUUUAACUAACUGAAGUACAGUUGUGUGUGGGAGAUGCAACUGGAUAAGUUGGUGCCUCUUCUUAGGCUCUAUGCACAAGGAACACUGAAGAUCCUGUCCAGCCUUUCUUGGAUUAUACAUUACUGAUAUGACUGAACUUCGUUCUCGUUCCUCAGCUCAGUCCUACGCUAUGUCCACGAUGCAGAUUGUUCUGCAUUUUGCGGUGUUGCGCACAUGAUUACUGAUGCAAAAAUCAGUAAGCCUAGUAAUGCUUAAUGGGAACUAUAUGAUGCUAUUCUCUCAGUGGUAAGCAGUACUUGUCAUGGUAUUCGUGCUCUGCAUUUUCAGUUUUUGCUUGCUUUUUUCUGAACUCGUGAGGUGAAGCACUUAGAUUUUUAACUGAACUUGUAAGGUAACUUGCAUUCUCUAUUCCAAUUGAUGGGAUGCGAAUAAGAAGAUUACCAGUAAACACUGAAGCAGUACUACAGUGGUAGGUAUCCAAGCGCAAUUGUUCAGCAAUGAGGGGUAUGUAAUUAUGUUUACAUAAUUGGUCAACCGUUACUGCUCAUACAGUAACACUCACAACUGCAGAGAGUUUGGCUUUAGCAAAUGACGUGAGUUCAGCUUCGCGCUGAUCCAGCACCUGAAUCCCUGGCAGCUAAGUGGGAAUGCCCUUGCUUACUGCAGUCCAGACCUUGGGGGUCAUGACGAUCGAAGAAGGUGUGUCGCUCUAGGCUAGCCGUGAAGAUGAACACAUCGAAGCGGUGGAGCCUAUCGCACUACAUCAAAAAUGAUUUGUACUAGCUCAGAGGCAAAUUAGCAUGCUGACGGGCGUGAUUGGCACCCAUCAGCAUAAAGGUUUCUCGGCAGGCGAACCAAGCACCCACCAGCGCAGAUCACCCCAUCCGUGCUGGCGCUGAGCUUAUAUUGCCCGCCAGCACAGAGGCCACUGUGCUGGCGGUCAUCCUAAGCCCACCGCCACCACAGAGGGGGUGAUCUGUUCUGGCGGUUAGCUUAUGUCGCCCGCCAGCACAGCUAUCACCAUAAAUGCUCUGUUCAUCUUCUUCUCCAGACAACCUUCCAUUUGGAGCUUCCCCGAGAGGAGCUCGGGAAAAGCUCCAAAAAAUACUAAAUCUAAGGGGGAAGAUUUUGCUCUUGAUUUCCUUGGAGGAGGUGGCUAUAUAAGGUGAGUUUAUGCCAUUACAACUAUCUUUUUGAACUUCUAUCCAUCAUAUCUAGCUUUAUUACCUUGUCAUUUAGAUCUAAAUCUACAACUAGGGGAGAGAGAGGAGGGAAGAGAGAAAAAAAAACUAGAAAUGAAUUAUUUUUGAAUAAAAUUCUAUAGUCAUAUUAUAACCAUUGCAAUGUUAUGUUUGUCAUUUUAAUAUAAUAUAGAAUUGAGUUUGAUUAUAUUUUUUCUUUUUAUUAAUUAUUACAUCCAUAGUUUUAAUUAAUGAAGUUGAUUAUUCUCAUUUAGGGUAAUAUAGAAUUGAUUUUUAUUAUAUUUUCCGUACUUAUUAAUUAUUACAUCCAUAGUUUCAAUUAAUGAAUUUGAUUGAAUUAAUAUAUAAUUGAGUUUGAUUUUUUUCAUUCUUCUUAUGAAUUAUUACAUCCUAGAUUUGGGCCCUGGUUGUAUCCGCUUAUUUCCCGCUUAUUGGUAGAAAUAAGUGAUAAACCCACCCAAACGCCUUGCUUAUUUCCCGCUUGUCACGUAAGCCGUUUAGUUGAAAAUCUGGAAUAGAACUAGCACCCAGCUUAUCUCGUACGCGGGUCUGGAGACGCUUCUGGGGCAAGCGGACCAUUUUUUCCCCAGGUACCCUCGGCCACCGACGACUCCAGGCGUCCGCCCCCGCGCCUCCCGCAACCACCACCGCUCCAGAUCCCGCCGCCGCCGCUCGGGUCGCCCAGCCCGCCUCCCUACCUUCAUCGGGCUUGGCCCCCACCGCGCCUCUAGCAACCACAGUCGCUCCUGCAGAUCCCGGCGCCGCCGCUCCUGCAAAUCCCGGCGCCGCCGCUCCUGCAGAUCCCGGCGCCGCCCCCCUGCAGAUCCCGGCGCCGCCGCUCGGGUCGGCUGGCCCGCCUCCCUACCUCCGCUGGCCGCCCCUGCUAGGCCCCCGCCGCCGGCCGCCCUGCCGCCCUGCCGCCUGCGCUCCGCCCCUGCCACGGGCCGCCCCUGCCGCCUGCGCUUCGCCCCCGCCACGGGCCGCCCCUGCCGCCUGGGCGCCGCCCCCGCCGCCAGACGCCCCUGCCCCCUGGGAUCCGCCCCCACCACCGGAUGCCCCUACCGCCUGGGCGCCGCCCCCGCCGUCGAAUGCCCCUGCCACCUGGGCGCCGUCCCCGCCACCGGACGCCCCUGCCGCCGGAUGCCCCUGCCGCCUGGCUCGGUGAAGUGUUGCGGCCGCCCCUGCCGCGUGGCUCGGUGAACAAGUUUUGAGGGUAAGAAAGUGUUGAGUGUAAGAAAAGCUAUCAACUAGUAUUGAAUACCUACAGCAAUAGGAAGAUUACAGAACUUGAUAGUGUUGGAUUGUUUCAAUGCCAAGCUAUCAACUUUACCAAAGGGCAUAGCUAAACUUAAAAGGAUGAGGUACUUGUAUGCUUGUACACUUCCUAGCAGUGCUAAAAUUGCACCAGCUGAAGGACCCAAGCGUGCCUAAUGGCAUAAGACACCUGACAGGGAAUAUUUCUCUCCAGUGUGUUAAAGCUAGUUUAGAGACCUUGAGCAACGUCGGAGCUUUAACAAAUUAAGGACAUUUUCGGUCUCGGAAGUGUUGUGUAUAUUUGAUUAAUUGCUCUAGGUUGUAUUCCAUGGCUGCGGAUGAUUGUUAUUUAUGCUAACAUGUCAAAUUUGUCUGUAGAUCAAUUUCGUAUGUUCAAUCAUUUACUUCCCCUAUAAAGAUAGAGUACUUGCAAUUUGCCAAACCUGUCCAUUAAUUCAAUUAACUACAUUUCUUUUUCACGACUUAUGCGUAACCUUUCUACUUGGUGGUUUAAAUGAAGUCAUUAAAUCUUUUUUCAUUUUGCAUUGGAGUCUCUUUGGAGCUGUAUGAUGAUAGAGUAGCUCAUAACAAUUUUAUGCAUGCGUGCAGUUGCUGCAGAGGAUCUGGAUAGCUGUAGCUGCUACGACUGCAAGGCCACCAACAAAUAGCAAGGUAAAAUUUGUGUCACUUCUUGAUGGAUUGCUAAAAUGACAGAUUGUGGGUUGUAUAGUCAGUGAACAAGCUCGUAGAUUUGUAUUUAAUUCUACAAUACUGUAAUCAAAUUUUAGAUGGAAAAGUCGUCAAAGAUUGUGGCAAAAUGGGAUUCAUUUGCCGCGAAAGCUUUCAAUGACAUUUGUGUGGAAGAAGUACUUGCUUUCAAUCGACCGCAACAAUAUUUGAAUGCAGUGGGAUAUGCAAACCUUCUUAGAAAGUUUUAUGAGCGUACCAAGAGGCCAUACGGUGAGAGUCAAAUGAAGAAUAGGUGGGAUAUAUUGAAAAAAAUGUAUACCCAAUGGAAGACUUUGAACUUGAGAUCAACCGGAUUGGGGAGAGAUCCUGUUACUGGUUGUAUUGUGGCUGAUGAUGAAUGGUGGGAAGAACAAAAUAAGGUGAGCCCACUAACAAUCAUACUAGAGAUAUAGUUCACAUACACGCUGUUUGUUUUUUUGAAUUGGAGUAUAAUAGCAUGCUGUUUUGGUGAUAUUUUACAGGCUAUGCCAGGUUGUAUCCGGUUCGGAACAGCUCCGCUUAAAUAUGAGGAUCAGAUGCGAAUCAUGUUUGAAUCGGUCAUUGUUACAAAUGAAACUUGAUAUGUUCCAAGUGGUGAUGGAAACAUUGAUGUUGAUGAACAUGAUGUUGUUGAUGUUGAGGGCAACAAUGAUAGGGAGGCACAUAAGGCCCCAUCCAGUUCUGAGUGGAGGGCUUCAAAAAGGCCAGCUCCUAGUUCCCCUAAAGGAAAGAAGAAGAAGACUUUUAGAGACCAGUGCAUGAAGUGGUUGGUCGAUGCAUAUGAGUUGAAAGCUCAAAGUAGUAAACAUUCAGCUACUUCACAAGUUGUUGAUCACGUUAGAGAUGAGAUUGGAAGUAUGUUGGAUCAAGUAAUUAAGGAUGGGGCUGAGGAGGGGAGUGAUGAACACUUCUAUGCCACACAAAUUCUUCAAAAAAAGGAAAACCGCGAUGUGUUCAUUACAUUGAAGACACCAAAUGGGAGGUUGAAUUGGCUGAGGAGGGCUUGGGAGAUAAGGAAGAAGCACUAGGGUGUUGCAUUAGUGUGCCAUUUCUCUUUCAUUUCUCUUAUGUUGUGUGAGACAUAAUUUCAAUUUUCUAAGUAUGUUAUGUGAGACUAUGAACCUUCUAUUAGUUGUGUUGUAACAAUAAAAAUUCAUCUGAUGACUUGGUUAGUGCUUUUUGAUAGGCUUGCAUUUGUUUUGAUGAGUACCUCUAGUGCAACUAGUGAAUGUGAAGGCAACAAUGAUUCUAUUCAUACCAUGGAUGUUGAUGAAUCUGAUGACACUGAUGAUGAUUACAUAGUGGCAAUGCUUGGUCUGGACUACAUGGCAUCAUCUGGUAUGAACAAGAAGAAGAUUACUACUACGAUAGCAAGGAUGACUGGAAUACAGUGGGUUGAGUUGCAACUACAAGAUCCAGUGGAGUGCUUUAACAUGUUCAGAAUGAGGAGGCCAGUUUUCUUAAGCCUUCAUGACACUUUGGUGCAAGAUUAUGGAUUAAGAUCAAGUAGACAAUUUUGUAGCAAGGAAGCACUAGGAAUGUUUCUAUGGGCUUGUGGUGCACCUCAAUCUUUUAGGCAAUGCAAGAAUAAUUUCCAUCGCUCAUUAGAAACUGUGAGUAGAAAAUUUGAAGAGGUUCUUGAAUCUAUCAUGAGAUUAGUUGUUGACAUUGUGAGGCCUAAGGAUCUACAAUUUUCUACUAUUCAUCCUAAACUACAAGAAGCAAGGUUUUAGCCUCAUUUCAAAGAUUGCAUAGGAGCAAUAGAUGGUACCCAUAUACCCGUAACUGUGCCAUUAGCUGAUCAACCGAAAUACAUUGGUCGGCAUGGGUAUCCUUCACAAAAUGUCAUGGCGGUACGUGACUUUGAUAUGCGGUUUACAUUUGCUAUCACUGGUUGGCCUAGUUCUGUCCAUGAUACUCGUGUAUUAUUGGGACACGCUUCUCACAUACCAGGAUCAAUUUCCACAUCCUCCCAAUGGUAAGGACGAGUUAUGUUGCAAUUUUNNNNNNNNNNNNNNNNNNNNNNNNNNNNNNNNNNNNNNNNNNNNNNNNNNNNNNNNNNNNNNNNNNNNNNNNNNNNNNNNNNNNNNNNNNNNNNNNNNNNAUAUUUGGUCAUUGUGAUAUAACAUAUAAAUAUAACAUGCAGGCAAGUACUAUCUUAUUGACUCUGGAUAUCCUAAUAGAAAAGGAUUUCUUGCACCCUACAAGGGAUAGAGGUAUCAUGUUUCUGAAUGGCAGCAUGGUCAGCAUCCGGUAGGAUUGAAAGAAGUGUUUAAUCAUGCACAUUCAUCCCUUAGAAAUGUGAUUGAGCAAUCAUUUGGAGUUAUAAAGAUGAAGUGGCGCAUUCUCUUGAAUUUGCCCAGUUAUCCGGUUAACAAGCAGUCAAAAAUUAUAGUUGCUUGUAUGGCCCUUCACAAUUUCAUCAGAGAUAGUGCCGUAUAUGACGUGCAUUUUGAAGAGGAUUUUGAGGAAGAUGAUGGUAAUCCAACCCAACCUAGCACAGAUGGUGGUGGUGGUGCUUUAGGAGAUGACAUUGAUAUGGGUGCAUUGCGUGAUGCUAUUGCUGUCGCUAUGGUUUCGUGAUUUGUUGUUGUACCCAUGAUGGAUGUUUCCAUACUAGACCGAUCUAUCAUAUGAAUUUCAUAUUAUUGUAAUGUAAUUUCUAUUUAACAAACUCCAAAGGCAUUAGAAUUAUAGUCUUCUCCUCAGAUUCACAAUAAAAAUGAGCUAUUAUCAGCCUUAGGGGCAUUCAGGUCAAUUUACCAACCUGGACAGACAAUCGACACAAAAUAAUCAGGAUUGCCAAACACCCUGCUUAUUCAGACAACAGAUUCUCCAGGCAACAGGCUUAUCAGAUAAGCUUGCUUGCCAGAUAAGUGAGUUCCAGAAAAGCGUAUACAAACAGGGCCUUAACUGCUUGGGAAAAGCUCAAAAACACCAACUCUAAGGGGGAAGGUUUUGCUCUUGAUUUCUCUGCUCUUGAUUUCUCUGGAGGAGGUGGCUACAUAAGGUGAGUUUGUGCUAUUCCAACAUUCCUUUUCAACUUCUUUCCAUCAUUUAUAGCUUCAUUAGCUUUGGGGUAAUAUAGAAUUGUUUUUUAUUAAAUUUCUUGCUACUUGUUAGUUAGUACAUCCAUAAUUCAAUUUAGUUUAUGGAAUAGCUCUUUAAAUUAGUUAAUAUAACAUAGAAAUUUUGUCAUAGGUUGUUAAAGAUAGAUCAAAGACCAUGGAUGUAUGGCAUACAAAAUUUGCCUCCUUUCAUGUCAGAGGUAGUGAAGUUUGUGGAGGCUACGAAAAAGUACGCUCGCAUUUGCAAGACAAAGCAAAUACGUUAUCCGUUUUUUGACUGUAGCAACAAAAUUGUAUGGGAGGAUACUAAUGUCAUCAAAAGGCAUUUGAUAAAGCGAGAUUUUAUGGAUGGCUACACAAUUUGGUCCCACCAUGGAGAGGUAGGAGGUACUUCCAACAACACAGACAUCAAUAUUGGCUAUGAUGAAGUGGGUGGUGAUGAAGUAAACGACAAUGAUCAUGUUAUGAUGGAUGAUGAUUAUGACCGUGGAGAUCAAAAUGGUGAUCAAACAUAUGUGCGUGUGGAACCACAGGUUGAUGAGGAAUGUGAUGUUGAUAUGGAGGACAUGUUGCACCACUUUGAACCAGAAGUGUUGAUCGGGAGUGCUAAAGGGUUAGAGAAUUUCGAGAUGCUCAAGAAGGUAGCAAAGGACCAUAUGUAUGUGUGAUGUGGGAAGGAGUGGACAGUGUUGUGUUUCGUCCUUCUGAUCCUGAAGGCUAAAUUCGGCUGGUCAGACAAUAGUUUCAAUGAUCUCCUUACUCUGCUGGGCAAUUUGCUCCCGAAGCUCAACUUUGUGCCAAAAAACACAUACGAAGCAAAGAAGAUUAUCAAUCCAUAGAAGAUGCAUGUGUAGAGAAUACACACAUGCAGGAACUACUGUAUAUUGUACCGCGGUGAGUGCGCGACAUUGGAAAAGUGUCCAAAUUGCGAUGCUAGCCGUUACAAAAUUAAUGAUGAUUUCUGUGAGGACCGUGCUAGUUCCUCCAUCGGGAAUAAGAGGAAGAAGGUUGAAAAGAAAAGUGCUGGUGCUUACGUGGAGGACGAGUUCUGUAUCAGUACUAACAUGAUGACUCAGUGCAGAGUCCUUGCCUUGGUGCUGUGGUACUUGCUGGUAGCGGACCGUCUGAAGUGUUUGUUCUCAAACCCAAAGAUCGAUGAAAUGAUGACUUGGCAUGCUGAUCGCCUAGGAAAGUAUGACGAAAAGCUUUGACAUUUUUCUGAUGCUCGCUAGUAGAGGACCUUCGAUGCCAAUCAUCUAGAGUUUUCGAAUGAAAAAAGGAAUGUACAAUUCGCAUUGAAUACAGACGACAUGAAUCCGUUUGGUGAAAGAAGCAUCACGCACAAUACAUGGCUAGUGCUGAUGACCAUAUACAACCUUUCCCCAUAGCUAGGUCACAAGAGGAAAUUCCUUUUGCUAACCAUUCUCAUACAAGGCCCGAAGUAGCCUGGCAUCGACAUAGAUAUUUUCCUUGAGCCAUUGAUGAAAGUUAUGCAGAAACUUUGGGAAGAUGGGGUUCGGAUGUGGGAUGAGUACAAACAUGGGCACUUCACACUAAGGGUCAUUAUCUUUGUUACCAUCAAUGAUUAUCCCACCUUGUUUGCCCUGACAUGUUAGGUAAAAGAUAAGACAACAUGUGUAGUUUGCUUGGAUGGAACACCAUCUAUGUAUCUUAAGGGAUCUAUGAAGAGAGUGUUCAUACGUCAUAGGCGCUUCUUAUUGAAGAUACACAAAUACCGUAGGAUGAAGGACUUCUUCGAUGGCACCAAUGAGAACGACUUUGCUCCAAAACUGGCUACUGUAAAAUAGUAUUUGAAAUUUGUGAGAAGGUCAAGUUCAAACUUGGUAAGAAGUCAUUAGGUGGUGCUGAUAAGAUGAGAAGGGGAAGGAAGCAGGCUGAAACUACAGACGUCAUAGACGUGCCGUUUAAGAAGAUGUCUAUCUUCUUUAAGUAUUUGCCAUACUGGUGAGAGCUGGCAGUGUGCCAUACCAUUGAUGGGAUGCAUCAUAAGAAGAAUAUGUUCGAUAGCACCAUCGGACUCUUGGGCUUAUCAGGCAAGGCAAAGGAUGGACUAAAAUCACAAAAGGAUCCUGUUCACCUUCAAAUCAGGUCAGAGCUCCAUCCGCAAGAACUACCUAAUGCUAAGCAUUACCUUCCCCCGGCUAGCUACAACUUAACCCAGCAGAGAGAUUGGCCAUGUGCAAGUGCUUGCGCGGGUUGAAAGUGCCAACCAGAUUCUCAUCAAACAUGUUGAAACUUCUACCAAACAACUUAUAUGUAACUUACUAAAUAUAAAAAAUGUACUGGUGUAUAUAAGAUAAUUAUUUUUAUGUGUUACUUCACAAUGGUGCAUAAAAUGAAAAUAUAAAAAGAAAAAUGUAAAGUAGAGUAGAAAGGAAACAAUGCCUGCAUAAGAAAUGCAUAAGAAAUAUUUGAGUGCAAUAUUUUGAACCAAUUGAAAUAUUUUUAUGUCAAAUGCAUAAGAAAUAUUUUGAGUGUAAUAUUUUGAACCAAUUGAAAAUUUUUGAGUGACCAAUUGAAAUAUUUUGAACGAAUUGAAAUAUUUUGAACCAAAUGAUAUUUUCAACCAUUUAGGUGUACAAAUUUAUGUUGAUAUGCAUAAAUUCAUAAAUAAUUUUUAAUUGCAAGUAUUACAGUUUUGCAUAUUCAAUGCUGCUUCUACCUGCCACCACAAAUAGAGAUGCCACAGCGCGAUGAAUCGUGCUACGUCGAUACGCGCGCGUCCAUGAUAGCGUCGCAAAUCCGAACUCCAAUCCGUCUCCAUACCGUCUCCAUUCGAUCUUCGACUCGCACGAAGGCGCCUGGGCGGCCUGGCCCUUCCUCGCUUUCGACCAGACUACCGACCACGAGCUCGUCAACAUUGCUGGCAGGGACGGACCUGCGUCCUCCCUGAAGUACGUGGUCCUUCAGGACAAAUGGACAGCCAUGGCCAGAAUCCCCGCGGCAUGGUUUUCCUCCUCGCCGUCGCCCUCUCGUCCCCGCCGGGUGAUGCCUGCUGCGUUGCCGCUGGCAUUGUCGCCUAAUAUCAGCCGGACGUCCAAGCGCCGCGACGCCGCCGCUUCGCGUUUUGGGCCACGGGGCAUGACGUGGCCUACGAGUUCGCCACCCUCACGACGCUGGCAGCCCAAGCCCGGCCAGGAGACGGAGUCCCGAAUCCGGAUGCGCAACGCACGCGCCUGAUGUGACGUGGGUGGACGCAUAUACACAGGCAGGCGGACGAUCAGGGGGGCAGACGAGACAUGCAAAAAAAUACGAUCGCUCGCGGCGUAAUCCGAAACCGAGAUCGCGAUCAUGUGACGGACACCACGACUGUCCAACCGGAGGCGGCAAUGUUGAGGCCCCGUUUGGAUACGUGUGCUAAAGUUUACCACCUAUCACAUCGAAUAUUUGGAUGCUAAUUGUGAAUAUUAAACAUAGGUUAAUUAAAAAACUAAUUGCACAGAUGGAGUCUAAUUCGCGAGACGAAUCUAUUAAGCCUAAUUAGUCCAUGAUUUGACAAUACGGUGCUACCGUAACCAUUUACUAAUGACGGAUUAAUUAGGCUUAAUAGAUUCGUCUCGCGAAUUAGCAUAGGGUUCUGCAAUUAGUUUUAUAAUUAGCUCAUGUUUAAUCCUCCUAAUUAGCAUCCAAACAUCCGAUGUGACAACUGCUAAAGGUUAGCACCUUGUAUCCAAACGCCGAGUUGGCGCUCGCGCGCUGGCCCACCGGCCACGUGCUGCUAGUGCGGUCUGGUUUUUCUCUUUUUCUCUUUUUCCUUUUCAAUUAUUUUUUCAAUGCAAUUUGUAAUAAGUAAAUAUUGUUAUACAUAUAAAUUAUAUGCACAAGUUGAUUAAUAACAUUUUCGUGCCGCCCCUCGCCAACACCACCACCAGCACCUCUGCUGCCUCGUGAAGCUGCUGCGACCGCCCGACGCCUCCGCCCGGCACCAGCCCCGUCGGAACACCGCCGCCUGUAGCCAUCGUAGCCGCACGCCGUCUGCUGUUGCGUUCCGCCCCGGCCGAGCCUCCCGUCAUCCACAACUGCUUCAAAUCGGCUUAAGGUGAGCCCGUAAGCCUCCCCGGACCCUUACUGCCCCAAAGCCGCUGGCGAGUCGCCGGAAUUUCAGCCGGCCGCCACCACCGCAUGCUUGGGGACCCGAUUGCGAUUUAGAAAAUUGAAUAAGGGGCUCUAGUGCAAAAACCAAGGACCCCUACGCAAAUAAAGUCUAGACGUGAGGGCUAGAUCGGUUUUUUAUAAUCGGCAAAAAAUAUGUUUAACUUUGGAAAUUCAUCAAAACUCAUAGAAAAUUCAUAAAAAUGUCAAACCAAUUUUGCUAGACUCAGUAUAAAGUGCAGUUUCUAAUAAAAAUACUUUUGGCACAUGUCUCUACUAGGAUUAAUGUUAUAUGAUUUAAACCUUGUUUAAGCUAAUUAAAUCAUAACAAAUUAUAGAAAAAUGCUAAAAAGGUAAAUCCAAUGUCCAAGUGCUUUUUUCAGAGAAUGGAAGCUUAUAAAAAUAAUGUGGAGCCUAGCUCAUGUGUUUAAAUCUCUGUUUUAGGUUUAUCAUGGAAAUCUAAGGUUGCUCUUGUCUUUUUGCACAAUAAUUAAACCAGAGACGAUAAAAAUGUGAAACCAAUUGGAAUAAGUCAGUGAUAUAGUGUAGUUUGUAGGAACAAUAUGGAGCCUGAUCAUAAAUAGAAAUAAAAACCACUUUCCUUUUUAGGGAAGAAUAAAUAGGGUAAAUGUAUGGAAAGAGAUACCCUUCACUAAAAAUUAUGAAAAAAUCACCAAAAGCUUUAUUUCACCUCUGGAACCUACUGUUAAAAUUUCAUCCUCAAAUUCAUUAUGGUUUCUGUUUUAAAAAUGGUUAAGUGUAUGCUACCUUAGGGUAAUAAUAAAGUAAUUCUAAUUCUUUUAAUGCACCUCCAAUGGACCUCAAAUUUAUGCAGUAGCUUAUCUAUGACAAGGUUAAGUUUCUAUCAAAUUUGUGGCUUCCUAGCUUGCUGUUUUAAGAUGGAAAUAAAAUUUGGAAGAUGAACCUAGCUAAGUAAAAGAAAGAAACCUCGAAUAAUGAUAAAGGUAAUUUUUGGAAGAGAUACAAAAGAACAUUUAGAAAUAGGAUAACUUUCCGAUCUAAGGUUUAGUAAAGUUAAGUUAUAUAUAUGUACACAAUCACCAUCAAAUUCACCCUAGGUUUUGUACCACAACACACCUUACCUUGUGCAGAUAGAGAAGGUGUAGAACCUUGUUUAGGUGAAUAUGGUCAUAAUGUAAUUUCUAUUUCAGUGCAAAUUCGUGUUUUGCAUUCUAUGAGAAAGCAUGGAAAUUAAACUGGAUGCAUUUGCAUGUCGUGUAGAGUUGAACCUCGUUGACUGGACAUACGAGCUUCACCCGGCGUCGGAAGAAGAAGCCGUAGCGGAUCUGCAGCUAGUCAGAGCCGAGCCCGUGCAAGAGCAAGUCGAGGACCAGCUAACUAACUCUGAGUUUAAAGGCAAGCCCUGGAGCAUAAAUUCCUAUCUUUAACUACUUGCAAUAUAUUUGGUUGCUUGAUUGUGCAUUUACAUUUUUAGGAAUUGAUUGAUACCGUAGAUGCAUGAAAUAGUGCCCUUUGACCUGAACACUAGUAUGAUAGGUCGAGUAGUUGAAAUGCUUAAUAGGACUCGGUAAAAGUCGAGUGAUUGACUGUCACUCGUGAGUUAUAGGAGUUGUUUGCUUUCCUUUUUGUCACAACUAUAAGGACGAUGGACGGGGCAGGUCUCUGUGAACUAUUUUGGUGGUCGGUGAAUUGCCCCAUCUGUCUACAUGAAAUUGGACUAAGGUCGAGAUGUGGUAGUGUUCAUGAUCAAGUAUUUGAAAGUACUAAUCUCAUACCUAGUAUGGGAUGGGGAAGCCUAGUACCUGAUUGAACCGGAACGUGAGUGGAUCGUUCCACUAUCUCUGGAACGGAGUUCCCUUGCGGCCGCAUGUGGUGACAAGUGCGGUCAUAGAACGGCAGAGGCCGGGUCUAUGGAGCCUUGUACCAAGGGAAGUGGGCCUGACAUGAGUUUGGGAAUUGAUGGGGACGGCUGACAAAUGAAGCGAUCAUUCGCAGUGCGCGGAUGUCGUGGGAUUAGGUUCGCCAUGCAUGGUUAAGAAAUUUGAAUUGAUUCGUCUACCUCUCACAGUUUAGGACUACUUGAUCGCUAUGCUACACUGAGUAAAAAGGAAAGAUGAUGAUGAUCAAAUUUUGUUAGCUGUCAUUAAUUGCUUGGGAACUAUGCUUGAUUAGUAUAGUGGCUAACUUAGACUGGUAAAUGAAUGUAGAAGUGGUGGCUAAAACAUUGAAAUUAAGGACCUACACUAGUCGCUUUUGGCAAAAAUCAACCUUAGAGCCAAAAAGCUCGCAUGUCUAGGUGUUGGUUGAGUAAUACCACCGGUCGGUUAAGUCUUGUUGAGCGUAGUCGCUCAGCCUUGUUGUGGCACAUCUUUUCAGGUGAUGUUGAUGCGUCUGAGCUCGCUGCAAGUAGCACUUGGCCUCCCCAACCUCCUCCUGGUUGGACGGGUGAGUGGGAUCCCUCCUCGGACGACGAGGAUCGGGAUCAAUGAUGUCAUGAUCGGCUUCGUCAUGAUAUCCUGCAACGACGUUUAGCUUCUGCUCAGUUAUUUCGGUUGUUUAAGAACUCUGCAAACUUUGCUUGAAUUUCAAACUUGAAGUUGUAAUAAUUUAAUGCACUUGUUUAAUUAUGAUGGACAGUUGUAAUCUCUGUAACCACUCGCCUUUGUGCGAGUCUUGCUUUCUCGAUCCUGAGGUAAGUGGUUUAUCGGAUGAAAUCCGAUGGACGACCGAAUUGACUUGAUUAAAGUACAUGAUCGCAUGUUAAAUGACUUAAGUGUGUUUUAGCCAAGUUAAUUUGGGCGGUUCCGCCACACCGCGCCACCACACGGCCGGCGCAUGCCCCCACGCACCAGAGAGGGUGGGUGCGCGGGUGGUGGUGGGAUCGACGAAGAGAGAGGGAGAGGCGACGGAAGAUAGAAGAAUGGAGGAGGAAGGUAUGGUAACUUUACCUUAGCCCAUAUGCAAGGUAGUUUUAACAAUUCCUCCAUGCUAACAAUCACCCUUCCAGCCCAACCAUCAUCAUGGGCUACAAAUUUACCAAACAGCAUCUCUACAUCCAAUGAGGCUGGCUGGGCUGGCUCGAGCCUGGCUGAGACGCUGCAGGCUGCCAAACGCGCCCUACAUGGCUGCCAGUGCCAUUGCCGUCAUGAUUGCCUUGUUGGAGCCCACGCUUGGCCACACAUGGCAUAUUGCGCCGCCACGCCAGAUGAUUCCUGCGGUCAGGUUGUUAGGGAGACAGCUUCAGCAAGUAAGGCCUGUGUGAUCGACCUCUCUUCGGUGGGUUUUUGAGGCGAGUUGAAAUGCCGGCGCACCCGUGGCGUCUCGUGAUCGUGAGGUGGUGGCGUGGCGCUGGCGCACAACGUUGCCCGCUCACGCUUUGAAUUGCUUCGGGCUCAGAGUAUGUUUUCCCUACAGUGACGGCGGAUUGGAAAACCCGCCUCACUCCUGCCGCAGUGCCCAAAACGGGAGCUCCAAAGCCCAGACUACUCACAACCCCGGCAUCUCCCUCCACCUCCCACCACCGCGAGGGGCGACCCGAGAACACCACCAGCACGGCCGCCAUGUGGCGCCGCCUCCAAACCCUAGCCCCCUCCCUCCGGUGCGUCGCCGCCACGCUGUCGUCCUGCGUCCGCGCCGCGCCCCUCUCCACGGCGUCGGCGGCGUUCCGGCACACCUCGCCCCUCCUCUCCUCUCCUGGUAAGCGCCCCCGGCCCGGCCCGGGCCUCAGAUCUCCAGCUGUUUCGCGGCUCUCCUGGAGCGGCUUGUUCUGAUCGAUGCCCUGUGGUGUGGUUGCGAAGGUGACAAGCUGGCGCCGACCAAGGUCGAGGAUGUCAUGCCGAUCGCCACGGGGCUAGAGCGCGAGGAGCUCGAGGCGGAGCUCCAGGUGAGGGGUGUCGCGGUUUGGGUUUGCGUUUUGUGUGGGGUUGCGGCGGCAUUUUAACCUGAAUCUGUCGCGUGCUUCUCCAGGGGAGAAGAGGUUCGACAUGGAUCCUCCCGUCGGCCCCUUCGGCACUAAGGUGAGUUGAUUGCUGCUCUGAAAUUUGUUAUCUGCAAUACCUGAGUUUGUAGAAUCGCACCAACUGUGUGAUGUGGUAUGGAAAAUGCAAGUCCAAUUCAUCUCUAGCCGCCCUGCCAGUGGUUCAAUUUGUGAUAGCCGCAUGACAAAAAUGUGUACAGUAGUUGUUUCCUUGCAUCAACUUGUGCUAACUGCAACUAAUGAUGUAUCACGUAACUCUAGCAUGUUUGUAAGUAACACAUUUUUGGCUCACCAGAUCCAUCUCUUGUUACUCAUAUAGUGUAGCAAAUUAUUGAGUAUUUGAAAUGUUAUCAUGCUUAAACUACAUUGCCUGAAGGAGUUGUUCUAAUACACCAUCAGUCAGCCAUUACAUGAAAAUGAAAUCCCAGGGUAGCUUAUAACUAACUUGUCACUUGGAGGUUUGCAUUAAGUAUCAAUGCUUGUUGUGGAGUGCGCUUUGAUGUUUUCAACUUCCUAUCCUUCCAUGCUGAGAUGGUGCACUGUCUUGCAGUGAUUGAAUACACUUUAGUACAUGGGCUACUCCUGUUAGCAGAAAGAGCCCUGGCAGAUAAGGUGGAUGUAGUAUGCCACUUAGCUAGGCAACUGUGAAGGCAAAGCAUAAACGUAACAGAUCUGUUUUAAUGCAUAAUAGAUUCAGACUGUGUUUUUCACUUGUUUGUGGUUCUGCUAUUGUUCAAUCCUAGGCAUGGCCUCCUAUGCAUUCUAAGUACUGACAUUGCCUGCAUAUUUAGUCUAGAUACGUGGAAGUUCUUGAUCGGUCCUUCCCCAGCUAUUUUUCUUUUGCAUACCUGACUUUCUAUGCCACAUUAUUGCUCAAUUGUUCUGAACAACAUAAAAGACUCGAUAUGUAGGGGCCUUUCUCAUCGGGCAUGGCAAAUUAUAAAGUAAUUGAAGUUUAUCGUGCUUAAGUUUCCUUAAGGAGCUUUUCUAAAUACACCAUUGGUUGGUCAUACAUGCACUGAACUAUCACUUGGACUUGUAUUAAGUGUCAGGCUAGAUUUGUUUAUUGCUUGUUGUGGAGUGCACUUAGAUGUUUUCAACUACAAUCCAUCAACUUCCUGGUCUUUCAUGCUGAAUUCAUGCACUGACUAGUGACUCCAAUGUUCUUUGCUUAAGGAUGCAGUUGAUCAUGCUUGUGAUUGAAUACACUGUAACUACAUGUGGUACCCAUGUUAACUAAAGGAGGCAAUGAGCCCUGUUAGUGAUAGGUAGGUUUAGUAUAAACUUAGCUAGGGAAUUGUGGAGGUAAGCAUGCAACCUAAGAAAACAAUAAUACGUUGAAAAUUUAAUACACUACAUGGGUAUAUUGUUGUUUUCACUUGUCUGUGGUACUGCUGUUCCUAUUCUUGAGUCCUAGGCAUGUCCUCCAAAGUAUACUAUGUCUGACAUUACCUGCAUAUUUAUUCUAGAUAUGUGCAGAUACUUGAUCAUUCUCUUCUUUAUAUUUUGGUUUUGCAUAUGAGAUUUUCUGUGGUGCAAGAUUGUUCAUUUGAAUGCCAUGCCUGCAGGAGGAACCAGCUGUGAUAGAAUCCUACUAUAAUAAGAGAAUAGUUGGCUGUCCUGGUGGUGAAGGAGGUAUGUCAAGGCUAACCAUAUAUGAUGGUUGUAAGUGUUAAAUAUGUAACUCACCAUAACUGGUUAAUUCUUCCAUCGGGCUUAUUGCAGAGGACGAACAUGAUGUUGUCUGGUUUGGUUUGGAAAAGGAUAAACCACAUGAGUGUCAUGUCUGCUCGCAGUACUUUGUGGUAACUGAAAUCAAUGCCUUGGCUGAUUGUUAUAAAAGAUGUCCAACAUUAGUUGAUUUUGCUGUUAGUUACCAGUGGUGAAAUAUUCUUUUUGUUGACUUUGUGCAGCUCAGGGCCAUUGGUGACAGAGGUGAUCCAGAUGGGCAUGACGACGAUGAAGAUGAACAUCAUUGAGGCCAUGUGUCAAUUGGCGAUAAUAAUAACCUGGUGAUACAUGGUUUUGGUUUAUCUUUGCAGUAUCGAACUGCUCUAUAGUGUUGUAAUUGAUGAGUGUUUGACCAUGAAGCAGGACAGGUGGUGUUUUUCGCCUAUGGAUUUUGUUGGAACCGUGUAGACUUUACAUGUGUUUCUGUUUGGCAUGUGCAUUUUUUGUUGAGUGCAUCAUCAAAUAAAGGAUGAGUGCAUUGAUCUGUUUCACUCUAGUGACCAUAAGGUGUGGCUUUGCAAUGUUUGUAUUCUUUUUUUGUUCCGAGAUCAAUGAGGCCUUGUGUCUUGAAGUUGAGAACAGCUUCUUGAAGUUGAGCAGAUGGCGAGUAGGACACAGCUGAUCCCAGUUCUUGAGCCCGGCUUGUGUUUUACUUCCUCCGUUCCAAAUCGCAUACAAAUAUUUAUGAACUAAAUCGCAUAUAAAUAUUUAUGAACUGACAAUUUGGAACGAUUUGGUGAGGGGAUGGAAUGGACAAAUCGCAUAGAUGUUUGUGCACAUAUAAAUAUCUAUAAACUAGAAAAACUAAAGCGAUAAUUUGGAAUGGUUUGGUGAGGAAGAUGGAAUGGACGAAGUGAAUGGUUGAAGUGAGUAAAAUGAACUUGUUCCUAUUUAUAACAGAUCUUUGUUUUCUUUUUUUAAAAAAAUAGAUCUUUGUUUUCCUUUUAUUCAGGACCCUUUUCUACCUUAUCUUCCUGUCUUCUACUUUCUACCUUAUCUCUUUCCUCUGCGCAAGCGCCGCCCGUGGCUUCGCUCCUACCCCGGUUCGCUUCGGGCUUGCCCUCCUGCUCUCCCGCCGCCCAACUUCGCCGGCCACGCCGCUCCAUUCCAUUCGGGCGCCACCCGUCGCCCGUCUUCGUCUCCGCCAGUCCAAGGCUCCAAGCCCCGGUCCGCUCCAGCCUUGCCGUCGUACUCUCCCGCUAUCCAGCUUCAUCCAGCCAGCCAUGCCGCUCCCCCACCGGUCCACGCGCUAGCCCCCGCCGGACGCCGGUUCAGGCGCCUGCGGCCGCGGCUUUGGCGUGGACGCCGGGCAGCGCUUGUGCCGGUUCCAGCCGAUCCCAGGUCCGAGGAUGGCGGCCGGCCGGCCCGAGCCAACCAAGAAAGGGGCGGCGGGCUGUAGGCGGCAGCGGCACGCCCAUCCCAUCCACCGACGACCCUACAGGUACGCGGGGAGACCGGUAGAAGCCGGUGGCAAUUUCGGUGUAAUUUGUGCCAACUCGCAUAAUCGUUGUGGGCUGAAACUUUGUCGCGAUCAAACCGGCCCAAGAGCCCAGGCAGCCCUGCCAGCACGAUCCGUUGCAAAACGAGCCUCCCUCCCUCCUCUGCUUCUUGCCUUCUUUGCACCGUUCCCCCCCUCUCUGCUCCAACUCCAAGGCUUCCUCCAGAACAAAUUCCAAAUCAAACCCCCCGCACCACCAAACCAACGUCUUCCAGUUCCUCGACGUCUUCCCUUCCUCCCCCAAUCCAAUCCCCAAUCCCUCGCCCCCACCUCUCCGAGCUCCCAUGGCCGAGCCACCUCCCUGGGCGGACGGCCUCCCCCACGCCGCCCUGCGCGAGAUCGUCCGCCGGGUCCCGUGCGCCGUCGACCGCGGCAGCAUGGCCGGCGCCUGCCGCUCAUGGCGCGCGAGGCUCGCGGACCUCCCGCCCCCGCCGCCCCCGCUCCCGUGGCUCGUCCUCCCAUCGGGCGGCUCCACCCGCUUCUACUGCGCCCUCAGCGGCUGCGUCCAUCACUACGAGACCAACGCGCCCCCGCACGGCGCCCGCUUCUUCGGCUCGCACGAAGGCGCAUGGCUCUUCCUCGCCUUCAACCAGAACACCGACCACGAGCUCGUCAACCUCCGCGCCGACAGGACCUUCCUCAUCCCCGACAAGUACCGCCUGCAGCAGGACGGCCCCCUCGCCGCCGCCCACGAUGACAUGGUCAUCCUCGCCGCCGCCCUCUCGUCCCCACCGGACCAGGGAAAGUGCGUCGGCGCCUGCAUCAUCUCCCGUUGGCCGGCCAACGUCCCCACCCUGCGGCGGUUCGCGUUCUGGCACGUCGAAUUUGGUGGUGACGCGGACGCCUACGAUCUCAUGCCUGACCCCGACCCAACUCCGCCGCAUUUGCAAGUUGAGGACGUCCUGUGCUACCAAGGGGCCUUCUACUUCCUGACCCAAGGCGAACACAUCCGCCGGUGCGAACCGGUUCAUGAUGCAGGUGGGGAUCUGGAAGUACUUUCCGAUGUGUGGUUCUUCCAGCGCGAGGGCCGCAACUACGACGGCCUUGUCGUCCAAGCUCGCUACCUCGUGGUGUCCCGCGACGAACUGCUGAUGGUCGUCAGGCUCACCUGUGGAGCCAACAAGCCGGCGGCGGCGUUCAGGGUGUUCCGGGCGCUGAGACCUGUUCAGGACGUCGAGGAGGUGGCCGAUGAGGACGGGGAGGACAAUCAGGUCGCGGAGGCGGACGAUCAGGGCGAGGAGAUUGAAUACCCCUGGUCCUGGGGUGAGCUGGACACGCUGGGUGGCCAGAUGCUGUUCGUGGGGCGAGGCUGCUCCAGAUCCUACAAGACGGCUGAGUACCCGGGGUUCGAGGAUGGCAUAUACUUCUUGGAUGAUCGGAGCUUCUACGACGACCAUUGUGUCUGUGAGAGGCAGUACCCCUGCAGCAACAACGGCAGAUGGACGCAAGGGCCGCCUCCCAAUAUUGAGCUCUACUUCCCGGAGCAGGGGCCUUCGGACCACUCUCCUCCGGCUUGGCUGCUCCUAUACAACCGGCCAUAUGCCAAAGCUUUGCCACUGGAUAUGGUCCGUGAGAUCAGUCGCCACAUUAUUUGCGACACCGAGCGUGUCCGGACCCUCCGCGUGUGCUGCCUGGUGCUCUCUGACCCUGGGGCGCGGGCCAUACAGCCACAGCUUCCGUGGCUGCUUGCAGCUUCCACCGACGGGCCCUUAUUGUACUGUCUAAAUUGUGGCAGUGGCGGGAAUGGUACCACGCACACUACUGGCGCCCCAAUGUACGUGCAUACUGCAUACCACUAUGGUGCAUACGAUGGCCGUUGGUUGUUCUCUACAUUGGAGAAUGGUGACAGUGUGAUGGUUAACUUACUUACCGGAAGCAGGCAGAGACUUCCCAUUGAGAUUACAUACCGCCAGAGUGGUUUAUCAUACCCACAGAAAAUCCUUGCCGCCACCCUCUCCGCCGCACCAGAUAGCUGCAGAGCCUGCAUUGGGGCAGCGAUAGUCCGUUACGUCCAUCCAUCAGUGAAGCCCAUCUUAACGUCUCACUUUGGCAAAGUAGGCCGUGAAACAGCUACCCAGAUUGCACUGUUUAGGCUUGGGGAUGAAAUCGCUGUCGACCCAUUAUCAGCUAUCAAUUCGCCCAUCUUUGUAGAAGCAGAUGACAUAACAUUUUAUAAUGGGUCACUGCAUUGCAUCACGCCAGGUGACCACUUCUUUGUUUAGACUCCGGUGUUCCUUCCAGAUGGGCAAUUUGUGCUGGAUAACGUAGAUCACUGGAAACACUUUCGUCUGAAGUACGAACUGGAUGGCAGGCAGCCCCUUCCCGAUGACAAGACCCCGGGCUGCCAUUACCUUGUGGAGUCCCGCGGGGAACUGCUAGUGGUAGUUCGGUACUAUUCUGGUGCUAAGACAGCAAGGGAAACUGAAACAUUUAGGGUGUUCAGAAUGAUCAUUCCAGAGUUUCAUGUCAACAUGGGUGAUCACGAUUUUUGCAUCUGCACCCAUCAACCGAGCCUGGAUGGCCGGAUGCUGUUCGUGGGGCGAGGCUGCUCCAGAUCCUACGAGCUGGCUCAGUACCCAGAGUUUAAGGACGGCAUCUACUUCGUGGAUGAUCAGAGCUUCUACGACGAGCACAUCAUGUGCCAUGGUGGUAAUGAGAGGGUUUAUCCCUGCAGCGAUACUGGAAGGUGGAUCCAAGGGCCACCACCGAACCUUGAAAGCUUCUUACCGGGGCAGGGUUCCUCAAAAACCUCUUCUCCAGUUUGGAUUCUCCCUUGAGACAGACUCUCCAUCUCUGAAUUUGUGUUUCAUUUGCUGUGCCUAACCGCCACAGCAUUCAUGUACUUCAUUUUACUCUCAAGUUUCAAUUUACAUACCUGAAUACAGAAAAUGGUUGGUUGGUUGCCGUUUAAGAUUGUGUGAGGUCAUUGAUUGUGAAUCCACUUUGAGAAUUUGUGUGCUGGUGAUAAGAUUGUUUCCUUGUGAUUCCACCCAAGUAAUAUUCUUGGAAGAUGAACCUGUGCAAUUCAGCAUUCUGAAUUUCUUUCCAUUGGCACUGUGACAGGGUACUGCAGGCAAGUGCCUAUGCUAGAACAGAAGGGAUGCAGAAUCUGGGAAGACUGUCUUAUAUUUCUUUUACUAGUCUCCCCAAGUGUUAAUUUUGUUUGUUUACAAGCUUAUUUGUUUUUGCUGUAUUUACUGUGUGAUCUCUGAUUCUCAUCUGUGCAUUACGCUGGUUCAGAUGGAUUUGAUCUUAUAUAAUUUGGUGAUGCUGUUAUUAUCAAGUAUGCACCAAAUGGUGACUGUGGAUUCGAGAUACUUUCAGUAUAGUGAGAUUGGUUUAUGUUGUGGGCACAGAUCUAUUUUCCACAAGCUGUGUACUGAUUUAAACUUCGCGUCCUCAUAGUUUUACCUUUGUGAGGACAAUCUAGUGUCUGCUGUGCCAAUUUCUUCUGCGCCUUCUAUGUUAUCAGUACUGUUAUGCUCUGAGAGGGAGCACAGGUAGAUUGAUUGUUGAGGUAAGUGCUGUGAAGGUAAAUUUGGUGAGCUUUAGGCAUACUGAUUGCUGUUUGAGAACUGCAUUUUCUUUUGUUGAGUUUGUUGCACCUGUUCAGCCAAAAUUCUUAAGCUGUUGAGUUAUCUGAUGGUAGCUACUGGUACUUUCAGCAGUUCUGCUAUAUUUGUAUUGUGUCAGGAACUCAGGAUGUUUCUAUACAGAAAAGAAAAGCUAGGGGAAUAGAAAUAUGUUAGCCAGGAAAUAUAAACAUGAAGGUGGGUUAAUAACACUGUUUCAUAUCUAGAUCUUCUAGUUGCUUCAUGUGAAAAGCAGUAGUUCUUAUCGUUCAGCCUUUUAGCACUCAGCACUGCUCAAUUGCUACCUCCAGCAUGUUCCAUUUUUGAGCUGCCACCUUCUCCACUCGUUUAUCAUUUCUUAUGGUUUGGAUGUUUCUUUGCUGUUCCCUUGAUACUAUAACAAAGAGCAAAAGCCUGUCUGUUAUGAACAUCAGUCCUGGAGAUGGACUGCGUGUUAUUCCUGUGUUUCCCUCUUUUGUGCUAUUUAGCUUAAUUAUUAUUGUGAAAUGCAGUUAUGGAAUGCCAGCUCUGGUCAAGGAUUCACACAGUUUACAGAGCACCGGAAAAGAGCUUGGUCUGUGAGUUUUUCAGAAGUGGACCCUACUAAGUUGGCAAGUGGAAGUGAUGAUUGUUGCGUGAAAGUAUGGAGUAUUAACCAGGCAUGUUUCUGAAAUACAUCCACUCCUUUCUCUAUGCCAUAUUUUACUCUUACCUCCAAUAUCCUGAGUUAAAAGCACACAAAUAGUAGAUACUUAAGGUGAGACAGAGAGUUAUACAAGAGAAAUAUCAAACUCAUCUAGCUACCAUAUUUUUGCUGUCACUUGGGUGAUAGCUAGCAUAUUUUUAAAGGCUGCAGGCUAAAUAUCACAAUGCACAGAAAUCUGCAGUGCAUGUGUGUCGGGUUGACCACUGCUCCUUACCUUUUAUCUUCCAUAACUACAAUUUCAUACUACGUUUUAAUAUCAUUUAAUUUCUUGUUCUCAGAAAAAUUGCAUUGAUACAAUCAGAAAUGUGGCCAACGUAUGCUGUGUUCAGUUCUCUCCAUACUCCUCCCACAUGCUAGCAUUUGGUUCAGCUGAUUACAAGAUAUACUGCUAUGACCUGAGGAACACAAGGAUCCCUUGGUGUACUAUUUCGCGACAUGGUAAAGCUGUCAGUUAUGUAAGGUUCUUGGAUCCAGAAACACUUAUCUCUGCAUCAAUGGACAACGCAUUGAAGAUAUGGGAUCUUAACCGGACUAAUUGCAGU
rnacentral:lncRNA from 1 species